AACGAACGCUGGCGGCAGGCUUAACACAUGCAAGUCGAACGCCCCGCAAGGGGAGUGGCAGACGGGUGAGUAACGCGUGGGAAUCUACCCAAUUCUACGGAAUAACCCAGGGAAACUUGGACUAAUACCGUAUACGCCCUACGGGGGAAAGAUUUAUCGGAAUUGGAUGAGCCCGCGUAAGAUUAGCUAGUUGGUGGGGUAAUGGCCUACCAAGGCGACGAUCUUUAGCUGGUCUGAGAGGAUGAUCAGCCACACUGGGACUGAGACACGGCCCAGACUCCUACGGGAGGCAGCAGUGGGGAAUAUUGGACAAUGGGCGCAAGCCUGAUCCAGCCAUGCCGCGUGAGUGAUGAAGGCCUUAGGGUUGUAAAGCUCUUUCAGUGGGGAAGAUAAUGACGGUACCCACAGAAGAAGCCCCGGCUAACUUCGUGCCAGCCGCCGCAGUAA
rnacentral:rRNA from 1 species